AGAAUCAACGCUGGCGGCGUGCCUAACACAUGCAAGUCGAACGCGAAAGCCCCGCAAGGGCAAGUAGAGUGGCAAACGGGUGAGUAACGCGUGGGUGACCUGCCUUCGAGUGGGGGAUAACGUUCCGAAAGGGACGCGUAAUACCGCAUGACAUCCUGCCUUUGAACAGGCGGAGAUCAAAGCUGGGGAUCGCAAGACCUGGCGCUUGGAGAGGGGCCCGCGUCCGAUUAGCUAGUUGGUGGGUAACGGCCUACCAAGGCAACGAUC
rnacentral:rRNA from 1 species